rnacentral:rRNA from 1 species
CAGUCGCCACGGUAAUACGAAGGGGGCUAGCGUUGUUCGGAUUUACUGGGCGUAAAGGGUGCGUAGGCGGAUUGUUAAGUCAGGGGUGAAAUCCCGAGGCUCAACCUCGGAACUGCCUUUGAUACUGGCGAUCUUGAGUCCGGGAGAGGUGAGUGGAACUGCGAGUGUAGAGGUGAAAUUCGUAGAUAUUCGCAAGAACACCGGUGGCGAAGGCGGCUCACUGGCCCGGAACUGACGCUGAGGCACGAAAGCGUGGGGAGCAAACAGGAUUAGAUACCCCAGUAGUCCCUGUCUCUUAUAA